UCGGGCCUACGGGGGGCAGCAGUGAGGAAUAUUGGUCAAUGGCCGGAAGGCUGAACCAGCCAAGCCGCGUGAAGGACGAAGGUGCCAAGCAUUGUAAACUUCUUUUGUCAAGGGACAAAAUCAGGCUCGAGAGCCUGACCGAGGGUACUUGAAGAAAAAGCAUCGGCUAACUCCGUGCCAGCAGCCGCGGUAAUACGGAGGAUGCGAGCGUUAUCCGGAUUUACUGGGUGUAAAGGGAGCGUAGGCGGCCAUGCAAGUCAGAAGUGAAAACCCGGGGCCCAACCCUGGGAGUGCUUUUGAAACUG
rnacentral:rRNA from 1 species